rnacentral:lncRNA from 1 species
AUGAGGACGACCAUGAUGAAGACCCUGAACCACACACCCCUGAACAAGAACAGGAGAACAUGUGCGGGACGAUCUGACUGCUGCUGUGUCUGCUCCAAACAUUUGUGUCUGCUCAACAUGAGCAUGACUACCUGUAAAACAUUUACACAGAUGAACUGGACUGGUGAGCAGAAGGUUUCUGGAUCAAUCUUCACCAGUGAGUCUUUACUCCAGGUGACUCCAGAGGGAUUGAGAUCCUGUAAUAAGAGCACUAUGCUCUCACUGGCUCUGGGGUCACUGAAGAUGAAGAGACCACAGCAACAUCUGGUCCUGAUGAGAAAACAAGAGGAGAUGC